rnacentral:misc_RNA from 1 species
GAAAUGCGAUAAGUAAUGUGAAUUGCAGAAUUCAGUGAAUCAUCAGAUUUUUGAACGCAACUGGCGCUGGUUGGCUAUCCAACCAGCAUGCUUGUUUCAGUGUCUUUUUAACCCCUCACCCAAAUCUUAAUGCGAGAGAUACCCUUCUCUCGUUAAGCAUGAAAGCACUCUGUGCUCUGCGAGCGACUUCGACUUGUUCGAGGGUCGCACUCAAUGCAGCAGUCACAUUGUUCACAAUGUGUAGCCAUUGAGAGCUGAGGCAGUGCGGCCUUACAGCUGCCAGUGCUUAGACACUCAAACUUUUCUUGUAUCUGAAAUCAAGCAGGAUCACCCGCUGAACUUAAGC